UAGUGAAUGCUACAAUUAGUUAAAUAAACUUACUUGGUUUAUGAUGCAGUCUUUGAUGAUGCUUUUUGUAAUUGACUGUAUAGGCUUGGUCUCCAUUGUGCCUCGAACUCUAUUUUUAGAGUUCCUUUGUGCAGGUACCACUUCGGUAAAGGGGAAAAUCCCUAUCUUACCAUCAAAAAUCAUCUCCCCUGUUUCAUUAAAUUGUGGUCUGGUGACAGCAGACAAAAACAUGAUCUUUUGAAUGAAUCUCUUCGAUUUACAUGUCCUAUACAGAUCUUCUUCGUUAGGCAGCAAGUAAUACCUCUCUGAUACGUUUGACAUGUAAAACCAUUUCUCGUCGAUGUGAACUACAUUAUGCAUACCUUUAAAUGUGAAUUUCCCAUCAAUGUUGGCUGCAGAAUUCAGUUGACUUAAACUAAAUUUAAGUCUUGCUAGUUUGUUGUCUUCUGUAAGUACUGGCUUCACGGCACUUGUGUGAGGCCUUAGCUAUUUAUCUUUAAUCCAUUCACCAAUGAGAGAUUUGGAAAUGCCUAAUUUACUUGCCAUCUUCCUUAUUGUACCUCUCUCUUUGACAGUUGCCCAUAUUUCUCGUACUGACCUCAAUGAAAUUCCAAACAAUGCAGCUGCCUCUUUUGGUGCCCCUCUUUGAAGAACUCCAUCUUUGGAGUGUUGUAGCAGCCAUUGAAGAAACCUUUCAUUUUCUUCUUUUGAAAAAUCUGGUCUCCAGCGAUUAGGCAUUUUGUAGACUGAACUUUGUGUAAUGAAUUUGUAAAGUGAUUAUCCUUAUAUUCUGAAGUGUUGGGCAAUUCGAAUUUGGUGGGAAUUAAAUUUCCCACCAAAUAUUUUACGCAGAUUGGCUGUAAACAAUUCUUAAUUGCCGCCUUUCUUUUGGGUUAAUGGAGUGAAAAGUUUUUUAAUUU